UACGUAGGUGGCAAGCGUUACUCGGAAUCACUAGGCGUAAAGCGCAGGUAGGUGGUUUGGUAAGUCUUUUGUGAAAGCUCCUGGCUCAACUGGGAGAGGUCAAAGGAAACUACCAGGCUAGAGUGUGGUAGGGGAUACUGGAAUUCCUGGUGUAGCGGUGAAAUGCGUAGAUAUCAGGAGGAAUACCUAUGGCGAAAGCAGGUAUCUGGGCCAUCACUGACACUGAGCUGCGAAAGCUAGGGGAGCAAACAGG
rnacentral:rRNA from 1 species